rnacentral:rRNA from 1 species
AUUGAACGCUGGCGGCAGGCCUAAUACAUGCAAGUCGAGCGGACGAAGGGAGCUUGUUCUCGGAUUCAGUGGGGGACGGGCGAGUAAGGAACAGGAGUAUGCCCGGCCGUUGGGGCUAACGUCAGGUAAGGGGCGCUAAUCUAAUAUACGUUCAGAGGGUGAACGUGGGGGAUCUUUGGACAUCACGCUAUCAGAUGACACUAGGUCGGAUUAGCUAGUUGGUGGGGUAAAGGCGUACCAAGGCGACGAUCCGUAACUGGUCUGAGAGGAUGAUCAGUCACACUGGAACUGAGACACGGUCCAGACUCCUACGGGAGGCAGCAGUAGGGAAUCUUGGACAAUGGGCGAAAGCCUGAUCCAGCCAUGCCGCGUGAGUGAAGAAGGUCUUCGGAUUGUAAAACUCUUUUAUUUGGGAAGAAGAACUGUGAGAGUAAACCUUCCCGUUUUGACGUUACCAACAGAGUAAGCACCGGCUAACUACGUG